rnacentral:rRNA from 1 species
UACGAAGGGGGCUAGCGUUGUUCGGAAUCACUGGGCGUAAAGGGCGCGUAGGCGGCUAGAUAAGUCGGGGGUGAAAGCCUGUGGCUCAACCACAGAAUUGCCUUCGAUACUGUCUGGCUUGAGACCGGAAGAGGUUAGUGGAACUGCGAGUGUAGAGGUGAAAUUCGUAGAUAUUCGCAAGAACACCAGUGGCGAAGGCGGCUGACUGGUCCGGUUCUGACGCUGAGGCGCGAAAGCUAGGGGAGCAAACGGG